rnacentral:rRNA from 1 species
GGGAGUACGGUCGCAAGAUUAAAACUCAAAGGAAUUGACGGGGACCCGCACAAGCGGUGGAUGAUGUGGAUUAAUUCGAUGCAACGCGAAAAACCUUACCUACCCUUGACAUGGCUGGAAUCCCCGAGAGAUUGGGGAGUGCUCGAAAGAGAGCCAGUACACAGGUGCUGCAUGGCUGUCGUCAGCUCGUGUCGUGAGAUGUUGGGUUAAGUCCCGCAACGAGCGCAACCCUUGUCAUUAGUUGCUACGAAAGGGCACUCUAAUGAGACUGCCGGUGACAAACCGGAGGAAGGUGGGGAUGACGUCAAGUCCUCAUGGCCCUUAUGGGUAGGGCUUCACACGUCAUACAAUGGUACAUACAGAGCGCCGCCAACCCGCGAGGGGGAGCUAAUCGCAGAAAGUGUAUCGUAGUCCGGAUUGUAGUCUGCAACUCGACUGCAUGAAGUUGGAAUCGCUAGUAAUCGCGGAUCAGCAUGUCGCGGUGAAUACGUUCCCGGGUCUUGUACACACCGCCCGUCACACCAUGGGAGCGGGUUUUACCAGAAGUAGGUAGCUUAACCGUAAGGAGGGCGCUUACCACGGUAGGAUUCGUGACUGGGGUGAAGUCGUAACAAGGUAGCCGUAUCGGAAGGUGCGGCUGGAUCACCUCCUUU